UCAGCAGCCCAUUUCUUUAUUUCUCAACCCAAUCCAACCCACAAUAUUUCUCUUUUCCAGCUUCAACAAACAGACAGCCUUCAACAAGACAUCGAAAAAACCCAAAGUACAACAGUAACAACCAUCAUUGAUAACCCACAACACUCGACCUUCAACAAACAACUGACAAAAAUCCAUCAACUUUGCAACCCAAUCCGUCAUCCUUAACCCAAAAUUCGGCAAAAAAUAUCUUCCCAACAUUGACCCGACUUCGACCCGCCUGGAUGGUGGGUGUUUGUAACAAAAAUUCAAGAAAGUUUCUAGAAAUGGGUGAGCUGGCUCACCCCAACGUUUCAAUCCCGCGAAUCUCGGGUACCAUAGUACGAAUUCGUACAUAGAUGGAGAAUUAUCAUUGGCUUGGAGAUUUUAUUCUCCUUCCACCAUUUUUUAUUGAUUAGCUUUUGAAAUUAGCAAUGGAUUUGAGUAUGUUUUGGGGAGAGAAUGCCUUAUCUUUAGGGAAUUCCAUUUUUGUUGAGCUUCCCAAAAAUACCCCUAAUUCUACCUUUUAUAUAAGAGGACAUUCGUUCAUUAUUUUAAGAGAAGAUAGAGGUUGGAAAUUCUUGGGUUAGGAAUUUGAGGGGAAAAUUCUCUGAGAAAGUUAGGCAAGGAAAAGAUAGGAGUAAGAAAAUUCUGAGAGUUUUCGAUGGUGGCACAUCUCGCUGUUAGCGCAUUAUCCCAUUUUGCUGCCCCGAAAGAGGUAAACACAUUCUCGUCCUUUUAAUUUCAUCAUUUUUCUGGUUCAUCCCCCUUUUUUCUUCAUAGAAUUAAUCAUGAAUGAAGCAAGUGCCAUGAUGGCCUUAAGAUUGUUUGUUGAUCAUUUGUUUAGCUAAAUCAGUAUCCACAUCGUGAGUUUAACUAUCAACUACUUUGAUUACUUUCUCAUGAUCUAUGGCGAUAUGAGUUAUAUGCAAGUGUGUAGCAUGAAUCAAUAAUUUUAAUAUUGUGCAAUUUUUGAUUUGGUUUUAAUGAAGAGAAUUUGUUUUGCCUAAAGAGAUAUGUUAGGGUGUGUUGUUGUAUUUGGUAUGAUUCAUGCUUUAAUAUUCAUGGUUCUGUUUGGAAUAAAUGCGGGUAUCUCUUUAAGCUGCUUUAUGUCUGAAUCUUCAGGUUGUCAUGUUCAGUGAUUUAUUUAUUGUUCUAAUACUUGAUCUUUACUCCUUUCUGUAUCCGAGCCGGCCUAAAUGUUUUCUUUAUUUCCUGGACGUUCCUGCAUAUUUUGGUCGCUCGUAUUAUAUUCUAGAUAAUUACAGAUAGUUACUUCUCGUUGGUAAAUACCUCUAAACCUUAUUCGAGUGUUCCUGUUUUUAAAGGAUAACAGUAAUCUUUAUGUCAGCUUGAACAGCGCACUGGGUAUAUUACGUAACACCAUGCUAUUUGUCUUCUUGUAUGAGCUUAUGCAAUGACACGCUGAUUUGUUAUUUUAAGUAUUUUACUCUUGAGUUGUGCAUCAUGUAGAAUUAUUCGGGGAUAUGAAGCAUAAUACAGCCUUAGUGUGGAUGCAUACAGUUGACAACUCUAGGAUAUCUAAAUUUAAUAUGUUAUAUUCGUAUCUUGAUCAUGUGCAACUCAGCUAAUGUUUUUUCUCUCUUAAUUCACUCUGUGACUGGUAGUGUGAGUUAUAAGAGGCGAGUGUUUGAUUGAUUCUACCUUAAAGUUGUCAACUUUGAUGCUUUAUGAUGUUCUCUUUCGAGUCACACACAUUUUUGUUUACAACUAUAGUGUAAUUGUUAGAUACCAUAAACAACGGAUGGAUUGAAAUAUCCUUUGUUGACGAUUGUCCGAUUAAGCUGCUAAAUGUAGUCUUCAUGACAUUGUUUUCUCAAGACACUUGGUCAAUGGGUUUGGUACCUUGUUUAGGCUAUGACUAAUAGAGUGUAAGUUGUCAUUUGUUCAAAUAUAGUCAUUUCGGCCAUUUAGAAUAUUAGUUGUGCAUCUUUAAACAAUUAUUUACAGGCCUUAUGCUACAUUAUGAACUCUUUGAUUGUCUGAUUCAUGUUUUAUGACUCACUAAUUACCUAUGUUGUAUAUUAUUGGCUCUUAUUCAGUUAUUUUACAUUAUUCUUACAUGUUUUUUCCUUUGCCGUUCGUCUUGUGCCAAGGUGUUCUAGUUUAUGUCAGGAUUGCUAUGGCUAAAUGUGACUACUUAAACAUUUUGAAUCAUGCAUAAUACGGUCCUGAGUUACAUCUCACUUUUAGGGAUUACUAAAAUUUGAUUUCUCGUUCGUUGAUCAUAAUUCAGAUGCGUGAAUCUUCAUUGAAAUUUUAAAAAUUUUCUUUUUCCUUAAAAUCAGCCUUCAUUCUCUUCGCUGCAUGAAUCUUAUUUUAUGUUGUAGAAAGGCAUUAUUUUUUUUGGUGGUAGACUGGUAUCUGACACCUUCUCUUGUUUUAAACCAUGUCAUGUGUAUCUUGAAUCGGUAUUAAUUCUUUCAUCCUUUUCUUUCCAUGGGUACACCUCGGAGUACAAAAGGGAUUUUUUUCCUUUGCAUUUCCUUAAUGGGCCGAUAAGGCCCAUCUCAAUUAUUCAAUCAUGAAGCUCUAAGUCCAAAAGUGAUCCCAUGGCAUUUGGAUACAAGGAGUCGGAAAAAGAUGGAAACAUGGGUUAAAGUUCCCUUGAAGAGGUUGGGCGACUUGAAAGUCUUGUUUCUUCAUUUAUUUCAUUCGUACUGUUAUCUUUAUUUAUUUAUUCUUUUAUUUAUUUCUUUGUUUAUUUAUUCGGGCCUCGAAGCCAAAGUUGUAUUUAAUACAUGUAAAGUGAAAACUCGAGCCAAAAGUGGCUCGAAAACAUAGAAUUAGGAAAGGUGAAAGAAAAAAUGGGUUGAAAACCCGUCUAGAUUAGGACAGGGUAGGUGGUUUGGUCUUGAAAGCCUAAAUCACUACUUCCCUGCUUUUCUCCCCUUUUCCUUUCGUUUACUUGUUUGCAUGUUUCUUGCGAACCAAGUUGAAUCCCUAACUAAGUCGCUAAAAAACUAAUUUUUCAAAAAAAAACUUUUUCUUAAUCAACUACUUUUCAACAAAUUAAUCUAUUUGAAGUUAGUCAAAAGACGUUUUCAAACAGUCCGGAUAACCGCAAGUUAGCGGACGUUUUAGGUGCCUAACACCUUCCUAAAAUUUUAAUAGGAACCGCUUAUUCAGAAUCUCUAACUUAGAAUGAUUUUUUUAUUUUGGAUCGUUCAAAGUACUUUAUAAAGGUUUCUUAAUUUCUUUUCAAAAUUAAGUGGCGACUCUUCUUAAAAAGUCAAAAUUUCUCCGCAAAAUAGAAAUAGCGACUCUGCUGGGGAUUUUUAAUUAGGUUCUAACCAAAUGUUUGAUUUCGUCUUUUGAUUAACUAUUUAUGUGUUUAUAUGUUUCGAUUCAUUAAAGUUUACUAUCGUAUCUCAUGGCAUAUUCCUGCAUUAUUUAAACUGUUUUGAGGUUUCGUGGAUAUCCCGGUCCCUAUUGUUCAAUUCCAAUAAAGUGUUGGAAAUACGAAUGGCUUAUUAGAAUGUGAGUCGUCUGAUGGCUGUCUGUAUUUUCAAACUCAAAUUUUUCACAUGAGACCCAGUGUUCAAACCCACUCUAGACACUUAGGAUAGAACGAAACCAAAACCCUAUUUAGGCAUGAGCCUAGGACGAUGCAAUAUCGGAGUGGGGUAUUGGGCCUAUUAGAAAAUCUGUCUUGCAUUUAUUGACCCUGACUCAAUUAUAGACGAACCACGUUUAUGUGUUGAAGAAAAUAUAUGCCUAUCUAAUUCAAUCCAUUAUUCUUUGGGGGUCGGGAAAAAACUUGAUUUGCUUACUUUCGUAAGAAGAAUUGAAGCAAUUUAAGCAAGAAAUUGAUCGAUUUGGGAGGUUCCAUAUAAGGCAUAGUGUGAACGUCAAGGAAUGUCACCAAUAUAAGAAAUGGACGAAGCUAAGAAGGCAAAGGUUGAUAGAAGAAGCACCCAGGAGUUUGUAUUUUCAAUCCCUUAUGUGGGAAUGUGUUUUCUUUCAUGUUAUUUCCCUUUCCCUAAAGAUUGUAUCCCUCUUUUGUUAUCUUUUGUAGUCAUUUAUGCCCUUUUAGUGUCUAUAAAAGUUGGGGGAUAAUGGAUUGACCUUAAGCAAGCAUAUAUUUUUCUUCAAAAAUCAUUAGGCCCAAACCCUUGGCUCAAAAAGGUCGCCCCAGUUAGGAUACGCAUUAUUAUAAUGUUCUUAUGUGAUAUAAUUGUCUUAUGUGUUAAUGUGCGUUUGUUUGGAUCAAAGACAAGUUUAUCUGCUAUGCUCUUAUAGAUGGAUUUGGCAAUGACACAAACAACUCUACGUGGCUAUUUCUUGUCAAGUAUUUUACAUUGUUUAUCACAUGUGGAAACUAAAGCAUUUACUUUUGAGUUGUUUUACUUUACAGAUAAUAGAAAACUACUCUGUGUUGAAAUAAGCUGGCAGAACAUCCUUACUUCACCCGGUCAAAAGCGCAUGAAAUCCCAUUCUCUGACCAUCAUUCAAUAAUGACUGGAAAUGAUGAAUAAAAUACAUUGACCAUCAGGGACAAUGUAAUAGCAGAACAGAGUGAGAUGAUUGCAGAACUUGUAAGAAAGAUAGAAAUACUUCAGGAGGAAAUAAAUCAUACUCGAGAUUUGGCUAACCUGGCCAUCACUGUCAAUGCUCCCGCUCCAGGAGGACACGGGAAUCCACUCCGGGAUCAGACAAAUAACAUAUCAUCCGUCUCUGCCCCUCCACUUGUCCAAAAUACCAAUUGUGAAAAUAAUCCAGAUGCUUACCAUCCAUAAAAUCCAACCCUCACCCCAUAAAAUCCUUCUCCAAAUAUACAAAAUUCAUUCCCAAAUCCCCAGAACCCAUUGGUAAAUCCACAAAAUCCAUCCCCAGAUCUACCAAAGCUGCCAAAUCUAUCUCCGAGCCCACAAACUUCAUUUCUAAAUCCACAGAAUCUUUCCCAGAUCCCACCAAGCUACUCUCAAAUUCCACAAAACUUUUCCAAUUUCCGAAAUGUUCUCCCUACCCACUAGCAAAUUUUCUUUCAUCCACAUAAUCAAGAUGCCUUUCCAAAUCCUUCUCAUGCCAUCAUAUCUCCUUACAUUUAUAAUUACCUUCCUAAUCCUGAGGUGGACCAUUACGAGGAGAAGGAGAAAGAGUGGAGGAACGAGCAUGAAAUGAAGUUGCUAGCUAUGAAUGAAGAGAUCAUAAGGAUCAAGAAAUCUUAUAGAGAGGGGAACAACGACGGGUUAGGUUACAAUGAUUUAUAUAUUUACCCUGGAGUAGAUCUACCAGAAGGGUAUAAGGUCCCUAAAUUUGAAGUAUUCGAUGGCAGCAGAAAUCCAAUGGCCCAUCUGAUAAGGUAUUAUGAUCAACUGGUGGAAGUAGGAAAAAUGAGGAAUUAUUAAUGCGCUUAUUCAGCCGAAGCUUAAGUGGCGAAGCCUUAGAUUGGUUCACGUCUAAAGAACUGAAAAAGUGGACCAGUUGAAGGGCAUUGGCCAAAAGUUUCCUUAAUAGGUUUGCAUUCAACAUUGAAAUAGUCCCUGACCGAUAUUCAUUAGAUCAGAUCAAGUAGAGGAAUGAUAAGUAUUUCCGAGACUAUACCUUCCAUUGGAGAAAAGAAGCUGCCAAAGUACAACCUCUCAUGUCUGCGGA